rnacentral:lncRNA from 1 species
GGUUACAUGAGUUUUUUGAAACAAUUAUCUUUGGCUACAAGGAUCACUAACAAAGGUGGCAGUAGUUCAAGGUUGGACAGCCAGUUGCUGGGCAGCUGUCUUAACCAAAGUAUUUUUGUAUGUGUAAGGUUGUGGUGGCCUUUGUGCAAGGUUGUUGUGAUUUUUGCAGUCUUUUGUGAUCGUUCCUCUUAUCAGGUAUAUGUGCAUGAGAACCUUCUUUUCAUCACCUUCCCUGGCUCCAUUUGUCCUGCUACGGUGACACCAGUCUUUUAGUCCAUACAUUUGACUUCAUGAGGAGUUUGCUAUAAUCAGUUGAAUGAAGAAGAAACAUGUGGACCUGCUUUAUAGAAGGAAUGAUGCCAGGGGGACGAAUAGUUUUGCUGGAUGGUCAUGGACUUCAAAGAAGCAUGAUUGAUAAUUGGUUGACAAGGCAAAUUGACAAUGAGGUAUGUGAGUGGACUACUUUUAAUGAGCAGAAUAUAAAAUUACUUGCGGUCUAUUUAAUUGUCAAUAAUCAGCAACCUCACCAGAAGAUGAGCUUAAUAAUCAGGUGAUCAAGAUGGUACAUUCUGUGAAUAUUCUUCAAGAUUUUUCUCUAGCCAACCAUGUCCAUUCCCAGUGGGUGCAUGAACAGUGUAGUCAUGGUGGAAGAAAUGGAGCUUAUUAGUUCAGUACUAUGAAAUUCCAUUUACUAAAUCCAAUCU